UAAUUUAUUUGUAAAUUUAAAUAUUAGUCUAAAAGGGUACAGCCUUUUAGAUUUAGGGUACAACCUAAAUUAGAGAGUAAAAUAUUUUAAUUCCCAUAGUUGGCCUAAAAGCAGCCAUCAAUUAAGAAAGCGUUCAAGCUCAACAGUAAAUUAUAUUCAAAUUUAAACCACUAAUAUUUAACUCCUAAAUUUUUACUGGACUAAUCUAUAUAAUUAUAGAAGUAAUACUGUUAAUAUGAGUAACAAGAUUUUAAUCUCCAAGCGCAAACUUAUGUCAGAUCAAAUAAUAACUGAUAAUUAACAGCCAAAUAAAUAUAAAUUCAAAUUAACUAUUUAUUAUAACACUGUUAACCCAACACAGGAGCGCACAAUUUUAAAGGAAAGAUUUAAAGAAGUAAAAGGAACUCGGCAAACACAAACCCCGCCUGUUUACCAAAAACAUCACCUCUAGCAUUACUAGUAUUAGAGGCACUGCCUGCCCAGUGACAAUUGUUAAACGGCCGCGGUAUCCUGACCGUGCAAAGGUAGCAUAAUCAUUUGUUCCUUAAAUAGGGACUUGUAUGAAUGGCCACACGAGGGUUUAACUGUCUCUUACUUCCAAUCAGUGAAAUUGACCUUCCCGUGAAGAGGCGGGAAUAUACAAAUAAGACGAGAAGACCCUAUGGAGCUUUAAUUUAAUAACCCAAGAGAAAUUUCAUUUUAUUAACUUAACAAGAUUUUCAAACUGGGUUAAAAAUUUAGGUUGGGGUGACCUCGGAAAAUAGAGAAACUUCCGAGAAACAUAUACUAAGUCUAACAAGACAAAGUAAAUUAUACAAAUUGAUCCAGUCUAACUGAUCAACGGAAUAAGUUACCCUAGGGAUAACAGCGCAAUCCUAUUUCAGAGUUCAUAUCGACAAUAGGGUUUACGACCUCGAUGUUGGAUCAGGACAUCCUAAUGGUGCAGCAGCUAUUAAUGGUUCGUUU
rnacentral:rRNA from 1 species